AAGGAGCACUUCUCCACGAUGCGUCACACAGGUGAUUGUGGUCGUGGCAGAGGCCAUGUCGGACUCGAAUGUAGUCCGGUGGUUGCUCAUGGGUGGAACGCUGACAUGUGCCGCUGGCUUCGGUUGGUGGAUGUAGUCGACACACUGUUGGGUCCUGAGAGAACACGCGAGUGACUCUCUAGGUAUGAGAUAACGACGAGGCUGGAUCUUCAGUCAUACCGCGGGGCUUUCUUCGGAGGGUUUCGGUCUGGUGCUGAGUCAGGGUUUGGUCUUGUGUGUUGUUUGAGAACUGCACAGUGGACGCGAGCAUCUUUGUUU
rnacentral:misc_RNA from 1 species